CCUACGGGGGGCAGCAGUGAGGAAUAUUGGUCAAUGGACGGGAGUCUGAACCAGCCAAGCCGCGUGAGGGAAGACUGCCCUGGGUGUUGUAAACCUCUUUUGUACGGGAAUAAAAGCUGGUACUUGUCUCCGGAUGAAGGUACCUUAAGAAUAAGCAUCGGCUAACUCCGUGCCAGCAGCCGCGGUAAUACGGAGGAUCCGAGCGUUAUCCGGAUUUAUUGGGUUUAAGGGGUGCGCAGGGGGAGCGGUAAGUCAGCGGUGAAAGCGCGGGGCUCAACCCCGGAAUUGCCGUUGAAACUGGCGGGCUGGAGUGGGGGAGAGGUAGGCGGAAUGCGUGGUGUAGCGGUGAAAUGCUUAGAGAUCACGCAGAACACCGAUUGCGAAGGCAGCUUACCGGCCUGAAACUGACGCUGAGGCACGAAAGCGUGGGGAUCAAACAGGAUUAGAUACCCUUGUAGUC
rnacentral:rRNA from 1 species